CCGUAAAGAUGUNGGNCUUGGAGGUGGUUCCCUGAGGAGUGGCUUCCGGAANNUAANCCNNGNUUCUAGUCGNCCCNCCUGGGAGUACGGCCGCAAGGUUAAAAUUCAAAUGAAUUGACGGGGGCCCGCACAAGCGGUGGAGCAUGUGGUUUAAUUCGAUGCAACGCGAAGAACCUUACCUACUCUUGACAUCCANNGAAUUUAGCAGAGAUGCUUUAGUGCCUUCGGGAACUGUGAGACAGGUGCUGCAUGGCUGUCGUCAGCUCGUGUUGUGAAAUGUUGGGUUAAGUCCCGCAACGAGCGCAACCCUUAUCCUUUGUUGCCAGCGAUUCGGUCGGGAACUCAAAGGAGACUGCCGGUGAUAAACCGGAGGAAGGUGGGGAUGACGUCAAGUCAUCAUGGCCCUUACGAGUAGGGCUACACACGUGCUACAAUGGCGCAUACAAAGAGAAGCGACCUCGCGAGAGCAAGCGGACCUCAUAAAGUGCGUCGUAGUCCGGAUCGGAGUCUGCAACUCGACUCCGUGAAGUCGGAAUCGCUAGUAAUCGUGGAUCAGAAUGCCACGGUGAAUACGUUCCCGGGCCUUGUACACACCGCCCGUCACACCAUGGGAGUGGGUUGCAAAAGAAGUAGGUAGCUUAACCUUCGGGAGGGCGCUUACCACUUUGUGAUUCAUGACUGGGGUGAAGUCGUAACAAGGUAACCGUAGGAUUUCUU
rnacentral:rRNA from 1 species